UAGCAGGGGGGGCAAGCGUUGUUCGGAAUUACUGGGCGUAAAGGGCUCGUAGGUGGCCAACUAAGUCAGACGUGAAAUCCCUCAGCUUAACUGGGGAACUGCGUCUGAUACUGGAUGGCUUGAGUUUGGGAGAGGGAUGCGGAAUUCCAGGUGUAGCGGUGAAAUGCGUAGAUAUCUGGAGGAACACCGGUGGCGAAGGCGGCAUCCUGGACCAACACUGACGCUCAUGCACGAAAGCGUGGGGAGCAAACAGG
rnacentral:rRNA from 1 species